UCUCUUAAUACAACACUGUGUGCAAUACACAGCCGGGUGGAUUUAGGGAAAUAAGGCCAAUUAAGUAGUUCGCUAUAUUAUUGUGAGUAACUACAUCAAUCUAUAUAUUCAUGUCAUUUUCUAUCCGAAACUGUUUCGACAACGCUAUUUAAUUUUGUGGCUUGAUGUUCCUAUUUAAUCUCGCAUCUAGGUAGACCAGGGCUUUCGUCCUACCUUUUAUGGGUUUGCUGCAAGGGAGUCUUCUGCUACUCAUUCUUCUAUGGAUACGGAUGCUUGGAAGAGCACAAUUCUUUUUGAAGUAAGCACAGGUUAUCAGUCUUUUUGGAUCAACAAUCACCGGAGUGAAUUAAUUUUUCCAACAACAAUUGACAACUUAUGUACAAUUGUUGCUUGGUUGGUUCAUACUGAAUGUGAUGCACGCUGCUGCCUCUGCAUACAAGCGUGAGGGUGUCGAUGCAAGCAACAUGGAUGCUGAUGUGGGCUAACACGGUGGAGAUUAGGCACAAGAGCUUUCUGGUGAAUCUAAGAUCACGAGCAGGUAGUGCAUCACGGUGGAGGCUAUUCAACGAAUACCGGCACAGGAACACUGCUCUUGCUGCUGGCAUCAUCACUGCGUCCAUCUCUACAUAGGAUCGUAGUAGGUUCCAGGGGCCAGAGCACCUUUGCACCAAUUAGGUUCAAAUUCAUUUUGACUGUUUAUGUAAAGAACUUUUCUCUCCGUCUCAAAUAUCACUUACAUUUUAUAAAUUUCUUCCUCAUACUGUUGUAAGAGGUGAAGAAGCACUAUGCUGAAUUGUGGCUUCAGAAGAUGUCUAUGCCAGCAAGGUUGACAGAGGUCGUGUGUGUGGCUGC